CCACUCUCCCCAAGCUGACUUUAAUUGGAGUAGUUCCAAAAUUAUUCUCUGCCCCCCUACAUCUGGGGAAGAGCUGUUCACCUUUGAUUUCCAAGGAAGAAAAAAGAAGGUGAAAUCAACAAUUCUCCUCCUCCGAGUUGGGAAUAGGAAAUAAGCCCAAUUAUUUAGGAAGCCUGAAAAA